GAUGAGAACGCAGCGAAAUGCGAUAAGUAAUGUGAAUUGCAGAAUUCAGUGAAUCAUCGAAUCUUUGAACGCACAUUGCGCCCCCUGGUAUUCCGGGGGGCAUGCCUGUCCCAGCGUCAUUACAACCCUCAAGCUCAGCUUGGUGUUGGGCCCCGCCGCCCCGGCGGGCCCUAAAGUCAGUGGCGGUGCCGUCCGGCUCCGAGCGUAGUAAUUCUUCUCGCUCUGGAGGUCCGGUCGUGUGCUCGCCAGCAACCCCCAAUUUUUUUCAGGUUGACCUCGGAUCAGGUAGGGAUACCCGCUGAACUUAAGCAUAUCAAUAAGCGGAGGA
rnacentral:misc_RNA from 1 species